AACGAACGCUGGCGGCAUGCCUAACACAUGCAAGUCGAACGAGACCUUCGGGUCUAGUGGCGCACGGGUGCGUAACGCGUGGAACCUGCCCUUAGGUUCGGAAUAACUCCCCGAAAGGGGUGCUAAUACCGGAUAAUGUCUUCGGACCAAAGAUUUAUCGCCUUUGGAUGGUCCCGCGUUGGAUUAGCUAGUUGGUAGGGUAAAAGCCUACCAAGGCGACGAUCCAUAGCUGGUCUGAGAGGAUGAUCAGCCACACUGGGACUGAGACACGGCCCAGACUCCUACGGGAGGCAGCAGUGGGGAAUAUUGGACAAUGGGCGAAAGCCUGAUCCAGCAAUGCCGCGUGAGUGAUGAAGGCCUUAGGGUUGUAAAGCUCUUUUACCCGGGAUGAUAAUGACAGUACCGGGAGAAUAAGCUCCGGCUAACUCCGUG
rnacentral:rRNA from 1 species